CCCGUCUUGUCGGAGUGCCCCCGCCGAAUGUAUCGGGUGCUGAGACCGCCUCUGCGGAAUCCGUCGAACCUGUCGGGGUUAUGCCUGCGUAGGGAUUCAAGCCGUCAACCGCC
rnacentral:ncRNA from 1 species